ensembl:lncRNA
GGUGACUUGAAAGUGGCCAUGGUGGGAGCCUUUAUAUCAUGGAAAUUGGCAAAUAUGUAUUAAAAGUCAUGACUUCCCACGUCCCUCAUCCCCGCCCCAGAGAGCCAGUUUACUAGCACACUACUGGUUGACUAAAUCUCCCAACCACUAGAAAACUCAGCUAGAGAGCACAUCUCAUCCCGAAGAAAUUACUGAAGCCCAGAGGCUUGACUCGGGCCUACUACUUGUUUCUUGCAUUUGUUUUUUUGCAGUAUAUUGAAAGUAACUGUGCAUAUCUGUCUUCUACAACACAUUUAAUACUCCUGUAGGGCAGGGCCCUAUCUUUUUUUGCUUUAGAAUCAGCCUCCCUGGCCCAUCUCCUAGCAUAGAGAUCAAUAAAUAUUUGAACUGAUCCCUGUAACUGGGAUUACAUUUGCUAUUUCUGGAGGUGACACACAUACUGAUGCAUAGCUGCAAUAAUCCUAAAUAUAUGUUUUUGCAUUUCUGUCUCUUUCCUUGUUUGGAAACAUACUCGAUGUUUUUGCUUACUGGGUGCUCCUGAUUAAUUUUAGUUACUUUAUAUUCAAUUCUGUUAAUAAAUCAUUAAAAGUAAGAUUUAUCUGCUUCACUGGAAAUCACUGCUUGUAUCAAGCAAUGUGUCACAUGUAUUUAGUAUGUAGGCGUAGCACAGUAAAAGUAGGCUGAAUUGAUAAAAUGUCUGUUAGAAGUCGGAUAUAUUCAGUGUAAGCACUGUAGCGCCAUUGCGAGUAUAGUUUUAAAGAUAGAGUUAAAUAGAAUAAAUGCUUUAGAAGGUCACGUAAGGUCGAUUGGAAAAUUCUUUGUAAUUUCUUAAACAUCUACUAGGAAAAACUGACGUAAAAACAUUUUUCCACUGGCAUGGAGCAAUUCAAUUCACCUAGUAGAACCCAGCAGGUCCCAGCCUGUGUGUGGAUUAUCACGUAGAAUGUGGGCUGCUUUUUGAUUUGGCUCACUGUUGAUUGCACUGGGCUGGCCUGGAACAUUGGAUUCGGAAGUUUUGGUGGAUGGAAGCAGUGAAGAUGUCCUAAUAAAUGAAGGAAAGCAUACGCCUAUCAGUUAAUAACCUUCUUUCUUCCCAAAGUGAAACAGUAUGGCCAUAUGGAUGGGGUUUUAUUAUUAACCCUUUAAUUCAGAUUGUAUACUUUUUGCCAGUUUAUACAUUUUACUUUUGCUUUUUGUGAUUUAGUGAUAAAGGAGUGGUUGCUGUAAAGGCCUACUUAUCUCCUUACGCUGAAACUUGUUAAGAUCAAAAUAAAGAGGUAACAUGGAAAUGACAGAUGGUUCCAUUUUUCACCCUGUCAACCAACAUUGGCUAAAUGUUAGCUGUGUGUAAGGUCUUAUAAGGCAGGGGUCCCCAAACCCCGGGCUGUGGCCUAUUAGGAACCGGGCCGCUCAGCAGGAGGUGAGCUGUGGGCAAGUGAGCAUGACUGCCUGAGCUUCACCUCCUGUCAGACGGGCAGUGGCAUUAGAUUCUCACAGGAGUGCGAACCCUGUUGUGAGCCAUGCAUGCCAGGGAUCUAGGUUGCACACUGCUUAUGAGAAUCUCAUGCUGCUGAUGAGCUGAGGUGGAACAGUUUCAUUCUGAAACCACCCCCUACCCUGCUGUCCAUGGAAAAAUGGUCUUUCACGACACUGGUCCCUGGUGCCAAAAAGGUUGGGGACCACUGCUAUAAGGGACAGGAAGAUGACAGAUGAGCUCCCUGGCCUCAGAGGGCAUUAUAGUCUAGCACUGUGCUAACUUAAACCUGGUUUGUGCACUAGCAUCACUUGGGCACUUCUGGGAGUUCAGAAUUUCAGUCCCUUCCCCAGACCUGAAUCACACUCUGCAUUUCAAUAAGCUCUCCUGUGAUUUUAGAUGCUUAAUACAAUUUGCAAAAAAAAAAAAAAAAAAA